UGCGUAGGUGGUUGGUUAAGUUUGAGGUGAAAGCUCCGAGCUCGACUCGGAAAAUGCCUUGAAGACUAUCUGACUAGAGGAUUGGAGGGGAGAUUGGAAUUCUCGGUGUAGCAGUGAAAUGCGUAGAUAUCGAGAGGAACACCAGUGGCGAAGGCGAAUCUCUGGACAAUUCCUGACACUGAGGCACGAAAGCCAAGGGAGCAAACG
rnacentral:rRNA from 1 species